UUUUACCAAAAUGUUUAUUUAUCAAAAGUAAAAUUUUAUUAACUUCAAUCAAAACAAAUAGACAACUCUGUCAGAUCAUGUAAGGAAACCUCUUAAAGGACAUGCCCUCAAAGAGGAAAAAACCAUACAAACUACAAUGAAUCUUAACAACCAUAAACAAGACUUAUAUAUAUAUAUUAUGUCCCUAUCUUUAGAGUCAUCUUUCAUGCCUGUUGUUGUUGUUUACCAUUCCAUUAAACCAGACCAGCAAGCUUUAGCCAACGUGAGCCUCCAUAUGAACCCAAUCAUGACUUUAAGCAGGUCAUCUAUGUUCCAUGAUUAAUGAAAAAUCUGAAAACAGGGUAUGAAACCUACAAGCUUCAACCAUGGCCAUCCCAUGGAGAACUUUCAUUUUGUCAGAAAACUAAGGAGCGCAAACCAGUUGUUUAAAUUGCCAAAGUCUAGCAAGGCAAAGGUGAUGUGAAACAUAAGACAAUUUAUAUGUUGUUAAUAUGUUGAUGCCAAUACUGACCACAUGUACAAAACAUAUAAUUCGGACAAUACCACCUACAAAGAAGCAAAAAAGAACUAGCCAAAAAGUAGAUACUUGAGAACAUCAACGUUUAAGCGAUGCAAAACAUAGCCAAAUCAAGCAAGACACAUUAUUACCAAAACUGAAAAAGUACAUGAAAGUCUACGUAUAAAGAAACAGUAUAAACAUACCCAUAGAUGGCUUUCAUUGAGAAUAUCUGGAACUUUGAGAAUUUCUCACAACAUUUUUGCUGAUAAUUUCCCUACAAAUCCCACAAAUUUGAUGGUGAAGUUACUCCCCACAUAUCUACUUGAAGAAUCCCCUGCAAAUGAAAAAAAGGUAUAUGGAUCACAAGUUUAUUCUUUUACAUACUUCUGAGAUUGUCCAUAUAGAUAUAUUCUGGACAACAGUACCAUAUAGUGCAAAUCAUAUAUAAGUGCUACAAAAUUUGAUAUUUGUGUUUUUAAGUUAAGAUCAGAAAUUAACAAACCUUGCUCACAGGGCUCUCUUGGUAUGUCAAAUAAGGACCUUAUUUUUGUUUAGCUAUUGGGCCUACACUUUCACAAGAUAAAAAAAAAAACUCUUAAAAUUGUUCGGUUGGACUUCAAUAAGUAGAAAAAGAAAUUAACACUUGAAAUUUGCCAAACCUCUGGUGAAUCUAAUAGCAUGCCAAGAAGAAUGAAAACAUCAACAAGACCUUGCACUCCGGCCUAUUUGAAUUCUUUGUCGUUGAAACAGGAUAGUAAUUAACAUCAAUGAUUUUAUUGUUGGAAUUAAUUUUGAAAAUAUCUAGCCUAUCCUAGAAAGUUCUAUUGUUAAUGAAGUAAGUUGUGUUUAGCUGUGUUCUAGGAACUUAGGAAGUAGUUAGUUGCUGCAUUUAUUAAUGUCUCUAGGAUGUUCUAAACUCUUAGUAUAAAUAGAGUAUGUACUCUCUUGUAAGCAAGAAGAAACCAAGUAAUAAAAAUUAUCUCCUCCAUUAAGCAUCUCUGUUCUUUCUUGCCACUAUCUCAAAACCUAUCAUUUAUUAAGGUCUGCAGUAACUAUGUAAUAACCUGUUAUCACACUAUAAAACCUAUUGUAAAUCCACUUGAUGAUGAUAACAACAUUAAAAACAAAGUAUACAAAUAUACAUGCACAGUUACUACUCUUCCUCUAAUGUAAGUACUUGUGAGAAGAUAACAUGAUUAUAAUUGAACCUAUUUAAUGACAAACCUCUUCAAGAUUGUCCAAGGAAAUACCGACUUCCAGAACCAGGGCUUCCAAUCAGCUUAGCUGGGUGGGAUACAAUUCUGCACAUGCUGCACAAUCCAAGUGAGCAUGUCAGAGGAAUAAAAGACAUGUCGCAAACUGUCAAAGUUACUUAAACUAGUAUAGGAGAUAUAGGUACAUGCAAGAGUUCAAGAAGCCAUUUUUGAAUAUAAAUUAAUCCAUACUAUUUAGUAUGGUGCUCCUUAAACAAUUCAAGGCCAUAUCAUAGUUCUCCCAACUCUGGAACGUAUAUAACUUAAUCUUGGCUCAAUUCUAAAAUCACUAUGAAAGUUCGUCCAGAAAACCAUGUUCCAGAUUAAGUUCUUCAACAAUCCAAAUUAACAAACCAUAAUAUUCCUUCAAAAAUUAGGAAAAAAAAAAAGGCUAAAUAUAUAAUACCAACAUGGCGACGAACAACAAAAACGAUUCUUUAUUUUCCCCUCUUUUCUUUAUAUAUUACAAUUGAUUGAAACAAAAAAAAAAAUACCCAAUUAUAAACUCUCUCUCUCUCUCUCUCUCUCUCUCCACAGUAGAGCAACAACAAACGUUUUCAUGCCCAACAACCACAACUUCAUAGAAAAUUAAACAUUUACUUUUCAUAAUUCAUUUAAGCGUUCCCAUUACAAUUGUUGUGGAAAAGUAAUAACUAAAACCUAAACUUUGAGAGCAAUUGAUUUGCUUACCUUACCACCUUUUCAAAUGCCUUCAACUUUAGAUUACAGUACCUAGCAAACUGAAUUCACAUUAAUAAAUCGAUUCCAAAUAAUAAUGAAAAAAGCUAACAAAAUUAAUUAAUUUGAAGCAAUUAAACUUCUAAAAACCCUAAUCCCAAAUUAGCAUAAGAGAAGGUGGGUCAUAAGAAGAAAGAGACCAUAUCGAGAGAAAUUGAGAGAUGAUAUGAAAAGAAAGACAUACCUCGGUUCUUUCCAUCUUACCCAACGAGAACAUUGUUCUCAUUGUUUUUGGCACUGCUAUGAAAUUAUGGAGAAAGUUAAAGAAGGAAGCAAAAAUUUAAACAACGCCUUAAAUUUUUUGUUUUGGUUCUUAAAUUUUGACGAAAUUUUGUUAGAGUUUUAAAACCACUUGGACGAAUGAAUUAGAAAGACCGACGCUGGUAAAGAGGAGUGCCAUUUCCGACAGCUUCAAAAAAAGUAGCGACGACUUUAAACCCUCGCAAAUCUGAUAACAAAUAUUGUUUCAGAAUAUCAAAUUUUAGCGACGACUCAAUUUUAAAUAGCGAGAUCCGUUGGCCGUCGAUAGUACUGCGAGAUCCGUAGGCCGUCGCUGAUCUCCCGUGGUAGCCGUCCCAAUUUGCUAUUUUUCUUCUAGUGAGGGUUUUGGUGAUUUAUAAUGGCUGCACAAAGUUGCUUCUUAGUUGCCUACGUAUCCAUA
rnacentral:lncRNA from 1 species